rnacentral:rRNA from 1 species
GAUGAACGCUGGCGGCGUGCCUAAUACAUGCAAGUCGAGCGAACGGACGAGAAGCUUGCUUUUCUGAUGUUAGCGGCGGACGGGUGAGUAACACGUGGAUAACCUACCUAUAAGACUGGGAUAACUUCGGGAAACCGGAGCUAAUACCGGAUAAUAUUUUGAACCGCAUGGUUCAAAAGUGAAAGACGGUCUUGCUGUCACUUAUAGAUGGAUCCGCGCUGCAUUAGCUAGUUGGUAAGGUAACGGCUUACCAAGGCAACGACGCAUAGCCGACCUGAGAGGGUGAUCGGCCACACUGGAACUGAGACACGGUCCAGACUCCUACGGGAGGCAGCAGUAGGGAAUCUUCCGCAAUGGGCGAAAGCCUGACGGAGCAACGCCGCGUGAGUGAUGAAGGUCUUCGGAUCGUAAAACUCUGUUAUUAGGGAAGAACAUAUGUGUAAGUAACUGUGCACAUCUUGACGGUACCUAAUCAGAAAGCCACGGCUAACUACGU